rnacentral:misc_RNA from 1 species
AAGUCGUAACAAGGUUUCCGUAGGUGAACCUGCGGAAGGAUCAUUAACACAAAACUUCUAUAUCAACCUCGUCGCACUUGUCUGAACCUUUUAGAGCGGAUGCUGAGUAGGCAAUGGUUGGAAUUAAAUCCUCGGCCAACUCAGAUAGGAUCCACCCAGGCCUUGCUAUGAACUUGAAAGUAGCAAGGUCUGCGCUCGUACACUCCGUACGAUACGUGAGUUCCGAUCCGACUUUCUAAGGUAUUACAGCCUCAACCAUGGCUGGCCCUUUUUUUAAUUAUUCAACCUAUUGAACACUUGUACUGAUUUGGGCUUUCGGAUCGAGAGGAAGCAAUUCCUUUCUCCAAAGCUUUUUGAUGGAGCAAUCCACUCAUUAAGUAACCAAAACACAACUCUUAACAGCGGAUAUCUCGGUUCUC